rnacentral:rRNA from 1 species
GAUGAACGCUAGCUACAGGCUUAACACAUGCAAGUCGAGGGGAAACGACAUCGAAAGCUUGCUUUUGAUGGGCGUCGACCGGCGCACGGGUGAGUAACGCGUAUCCAACCUGCCCAUCACUUGGGGAUAACCUUGCGAAAGUAAGACUAAUACCCAAUGAUAUCUCUAGAAGACAUCUGAAAGAGAUUAAAGAUUUAUCGGUGAUGGAUGGGGAUGCGUCUGAUUAGCUUGUUGGCGGGGUAACGGCCCACCAAGGCGACGAUCAGUAGGGGUUCUGAGAGGAAGGUCCCCCACAUUGGAACUGAGACACGGUCCAAACUCCUACGGGAGGCAGCAGUGAGGAAUAUUGGUCAAUGGACGAGAGUUUGAACCAGCCAAGUAGCGUGCAGGAUGACGGCCCUAUGGGUUGUAAACUGCUUUUAUAAGGGAAUAAAGUGAGUCUCGUGAGACUUUUUGCAUGUACCUUAUGAAUAAGGACCGGCUAAUUCCGUGCCAGCCGCCGCGGUAA